rnacentral:rRNA from 1 species
AAGCAGCCGCCGCGGUAAUACGUAGGUGGCAAGCGUUGUCCGGAAUUAUUGGGCGUAAAGGGCUCGCAGGCGGUUUCUUAAGUCUGAUGUGAAAGCCCCCGGCUCAACCGGGGAGGGUCAUUGGAAACUGGGAAACUUGAGUGCAGAAGAGGAGAGUGGAAUUCCACGUGUAGCGGUGAAAUGCGUAGAGAUGUGGAGGAACACCAGUGGCGAAGGCGACUCUCUGGUCUGUAACUGACGCUGAGGAGCGAAAGCGUGGGGAGCGAACAGGAUUAGAUACCCCCGUAGUCCCUGUCUCUUAUAC